CUUUUAAAGUCCGCAACACCCGAGAGAUCUGUUCUAACUCGGACUGCUCUAAGGUUUACUAUUAUCUCUGAAAGCUAAAACAAAUACACGUGUGAAGACACCUCACCUUUGGUUAAGUGAAUGGCAUUCAUUUAUAUAUUGCCAGUGAUACUGCUGGUGAUUUUUACCGCUUCAUUCAUACUACCAAUUAUAGGAACAAUUCAAUCCGAGUAUUCCAACAUAUGCAUCCCUGCUGGAGUGAAUCAUCCUGGAAAGCUCCGAAUUGUCCAUGCUUCUAUGGUUAUGAUAUCUGCUCUGGGGAAGAUUUUGGAGAAGAUCGGGGUGUGCACCGAGUUCGCCUUCGUCCGCUACGUGCUGUCCGGGAGGAGGCUGGGGCCGGAGCCGCGGCUCUGGCUGGAGGACGCCGAGUUGGGCCGGGUGCCGGUGCGGGUGUACCGGCCCCGCGCGCCACCUGCCGGCCCGCGGCUGGCCGCCAUCUUCUUCCACGGCGGCGGCUGGGUGUGCGGCAGCACCGAUACCUAUGAAGACGUCUGCCGUUACAUUGCCAGAAAGAGCGAGUCAGUGGUUGUGUCCGUUGGGUAUCGUUUAGCCCCUGAACACAAAUACCCUGCUGCGUAUGAAGACUGUCUCAAUGCCACCAUACACUUCAUGAAGAACAGUGAGCACUACGGCGUGGAUCCUGCCAAUGUCAUUGUCUGCGGGGACAGUGCUGGGGGCAAUCUGGCAGCUGCUGUUUGCCAGACCCUCGCAGGUAGAUCAGACCUCCCCAAACUACGGGCCCAGAUCUUGAUCUACCCAGGUCUUCAGGCACUGGACUUCAAUUUACCAUCUUACCAGCAGAAUCGAGGAGUCCCUGUUGUAUUUCGAGAACACGCCGCUUUCUUUGCUUUGCAGUACCUAAAUGGAAAUGCACUGCACAGGCAAGAGGUCUUGGAGGGCUCUCAUGUUCCUCCAGACAUGAGGCUGAAGUACAGGAAGUGGGUGAGUCCAGAUAAUAUCCCCGAAAAAUUUAAGGUCAGAGGCUACAAACCACACAAGCCCCAAGAAUUCAAUGCUGAAGUUUUUGAGAAAGUUAAAGGAUUCUUUGAUUCCACCGUAUCUCCACUGUUGGCCAAAGAUGCUGUUAUUCAGCAGCUGCCCGAGUCCUUCAUCCUGACCUGUGAGUACGACGUGCUGCGGGACGACGGCUUGCUUUACAAGAAGAGACUGGAGGACAACGGUGUUCCAGUGACCUGGUGCCACCUCGAGGACGGAUUCCAUGGCAUUAUAUGCUUAUUUGAUCUUUAUGUUUUGUCAUUUACAUCUGGGAAAAGGGGAUUGGACAGAAUUGUUGAAUUCAUAAAAGGACUGUAAAAACAAUUUUCCCUCUUUGUGUUUGUCCCACUAAUGUCUCCAUUUAGGCUCCUAAACCUCAGGACAGGGCAGUGUAUUCCUUGACAUGAUGCUUCAUUACACCUGGCUGAUGGAAGCAAGGAAAACCAGUACUGAGCAUACAUGAAAUAAUUUCAGACUGCAAAGGCUCCACCUGUCCUUAGACAAAGAAUCCCUACAUUUAAGGACAGACAACACACUCCCGGCGAUGAGAAGACGAAUCCAUCAGGAACGCGGGUGCCCUGGCAACCCCCCGGCGCUGCAGCUUUC